UCUGACCGAGCAACGCCGCGUGAGUGAAGAAGGUUUUCGGAUCGUAAAACUCUGUUGUUAGAGAAGAACAAGGAUGAGAGUAGAACGUUCAUCCCUUGACGGUAUCUAACCAGAAAGCCACGGCUAACUACGUGCCAGCAGCCGCGGUAAUACGUAGGUGGCAAGCGUUGUCCGGAUUUAUUGGGCGUAAAGCGAGCGCAGGCGGUUUCUUAAGUCUGAUGUGAAAGCCCCCGGCUCAACCGGGGAGGGUCAUUGGAAACUGGGAGACUUGAGUGCAGAAGAGGAGAGUGGAAUUCCAUGUGUAGCGGUGAAAUGCGUAGAUAUAUGGAGGAACACCAGUGGCGAAGGCGGCUCUCUGGUCUGUAACUGACGCUGAGGCUCGAAAGCGUGGGGAGCGAACAGGAUUAGAUACCCUGGUAGUCCACGCCGUAAACGAUGAGUGCUAAGUGUUGGAGGGUUUCCGCCCUUCAGUGCUGCAGCAAACGCAUUAAGCACUCCGCCUGGGGAGUACGACCGCAAGGUUGAAACUCAAAGGAAUUGACGGGGGCCCGCACAAGCGGUGGAGCAUGUGGUUUAAUUCGAAGCAACGCGAAGAACCUUACCAGGUCUUGACAUCCUUUGACCACUCUAGAGAUAGAGCUUCCCCUUCGGGGGCAAAGUGACAGGUGGUGCAUGGUUGUCGUCAGCUCGUGUCGUGAGAUGUUGGGUUAAGUCCCGCAACGAGCGCAACCCUUAUUGUUAGUUGCCAUCAUUUAGUUGGGCACUCUAGCGAGACUGCCGGUGACAAACCGGGAGGAUGUGGGGGAUGACGUCAAAUCAUCAUGCCCCUUUAUGACCUGGGCUACACACGUGCUACGAUGGGAAGUACAACGAGUUGCGAAGUCGCGAGGCUAGGCUGAUCUCUUAAAGCUUCUCUCAGUUCGGGAUUGUAGCUGCAACUCGCUACAUGAAGCCGGAAUCGCUAGUAA
rnacentral:rRNA from 1 species